rnacentral:rRNA from 1 species
CCUACGGGUGGCAGCAGUGGGGAAUAUUGGACAAUGGGCGAAAGCCUGAUCCAGCAAUGCCGCGUGAGUGAUGAAGGCCUUAGGGUUGUAAAGCUCUUUUACCCGGGAUGAUAAUGACAGUACCGGGAGAAUAAGCUCCGGCUAACUCCGUGCCAGCAGCCGCGGUAAUACGGAGGGAGCUAGCGUUAUUCGGAAUUACUGGGCGUAAAGCGCACGUAGGCGGCUUUGUAAGUUAGAGGUGAAAGCCUGGAGCUCAACUCCAGAAUUGCCUUUAAGACUGCAUCGCUUGAAUCCAGGAGAGGUGAGUGGAAUUCCCAGUGUAGCGGUGAAAUGCGUAGAUAUUGGGAGGAACACCAGUUGCGAAGGCGGCUCUCUGGACUGUAACUGACGCUGAGGCACGAAAGCGUGGGGAGCGAACAGGAUUAGAUACCCGAGUAGUC